GACGAACGCUGGCGGCGUGCUUAACACAUGCAAGUCGAACGGAAAGGCCUCUUUCGGGGGUUCUCCGGGGGGCGAAGGGGGGAGUACACGUUGAUAACCCUGCCCUUGCCUUUGGGUUACCUUCAGGAAACGGGGGCUAUUCCGGGAUAGGGGCUCCUCCUCCUGGGGGGGGGUGGGAAGUUUCGGCGGUUGGGGAUGGACUCGCGGCUUAUCAGCUUGUUGGUGGGGUAGUGGCUUACCAAGGCUUUGACGGGUAGCCGGCCUGAGAGGGUGACCGGCCACAUUGGGACUGAGAUACGGCCCAGACUCCUACGGGAGGCAGCAGUGGGGAAUAUUGCACAAUGGGUGGAAGCCUGAUGCAGCAACGCCGUGUGCGGGAUGACGGCCUUCGGGUUGUAAACCGCUUUCGCUCAUGACGAAGCUUUGUGUGACGGUAGUGGGUAAAGAAGCACCGGCUAACUACGUG
rnacentral:rRNA from 1 species